UUCGGUUGAUCCUGCCGGAGGUUACUGCUAUUGGUGUUCGACUAAGCCAUGCAAGUCAUAUGUUCCUCGUGAACAUGGCAUACUGCUCAGUAACACGUGGAUAACCUGCCCUUGGGUCUGGGAUAACCCCGGGAAACUGGGGAUAAUACCGGAUAACGCAUAUGUGCUGGAAUGCUUUAUGCGUAAAACGGAUUCGUCCGCCCAAGGAUGGGUCUGCGGCCUAUCAGGUAGUAGUGGGUGUAAUGUACCUACUAGCCAACAACGGGUACGGGUUGUGAGAGCAAGAGCCCGGAGAUGGAUUCUGAGACAUGAAUCCAGGCCCUACGGGGCGCAGCAGGCGCGAAAACUUUACAAUGCGGGAAACCGUGAUAAGGGAACACCGAGUGCCAGCAUCAUAUGCUGGCUGCCCAGAUGUGUAAACUACAUCUGUUAGCAAGGGCCGGGCAAGACCGGUGCCAGCCGCCGCGGUAACACCGGCGGCCCGAGUGGUGACCGUUAUUAUUGGGUCUAAAGGGUCCGUAGCCGGUUUGGUCAGUCCUCCGGGAAAUCUGAUAGCUUAACUGUUAGGCUUUCGGGGGAUACUGCCAGGCUUGGAACCGGGAGAGGUAAGAGGUACUACAGGGGUAGGAGUGAAAUCUUGUAAUCCCUGUGAGACCACCUGUGGCGAAGGCGUCUUAC
rnacentral:rRNA from 1 species